CACGUAGGGGACGAGCGUUGUCCGGAUUCAUUGGGCGUAAAGCGCGCGUAGGCGGCUCGGAAAGUCGGUCGUGAAAUGCCGGGGCUCAACCCCGGGACUGCGUCCGAUACUCUCGAGCUGGAGGCAGGUAGGGGAGAUCGGAAUUCCUGGUGUAGCGGUGAAAUGCGCAGAUAUCAGGAGGAACACCGGUGGCGAAGGCGGGUUGCUGGGCCGACACUGACGCUGAUGCGCGAAAGCCAGGGGAGCGAACGGG
rnacentral:rRNA from 1 species